UUUUUCUCUCAUUUUCCUUCAUUAAAACUAUUAACAAGUGAAGCUUUCCAGGAACGACGAGGAUCCAUUUGGUAUUUCAGAUUAAUUGUACUUGUUUCGUGGUACUCUUGUAAGUCCCCAUGCGUGUUCUCUCUGAAGUUUCCCCAUCAUUCCUUUGGUUUUCUCCUCUUGGCAUUUGCCCUGCUUUUUCCUUCCGGUUUUCCCAUAUUACUUCACCCUCAAUUCAUCUAUAUGCAGCUAUUAUAUUCCCCAAUUUCACUCUACUUUGAAAUCUGUUACUCUCUUCUAUUCUUUCACUUUAUCUUGUCCUAAUCGCGUUGUGGUUCAAUUUGCUUUCCUGUGGUUACUUCGACUAUUUUAGAUUUGUGGUGAGUUUCUUUCUAAACCGUUUCUCUUACUUGGUGUAUUAAUUUGCACAUGCAUGUAUCUAUAAUUAACCGUUGUUGACUAAUGUUAGCAUUUGAUUCUGAAACUUUUCUUCAUCUUCUGAAGUUAUUAAUGAUUUGUUCUCCGUUCUUGAUUUCUUUGUUUUCAAUUUUAGUGUCUUUGAUAUAUUGUGGCCACGCAUUCCUUUUUUCGUGGAAUGUGUAAAUGCAUGUGAUUCAUGUUCUGUGUUUUUGUUUAAUCAAUAAUUUCUUGUCAGCUUCUUUACACCUCUCUUCUAAAUCUACAUGUAUGAUUACAUAAUAGGAGUACCCUGAUGCUCAUAAAGUAUUUGAUAUAAUCUUUGUAGGAAAUAAGAUUUUACAUGACAUGCUCCUUCCGAAACAAGCAAUAUUUAAUUUCUAGAUUUGAGUUUCAUUAAUCUUUGCUAUUUAACAUUCAUCAAACAUGUUGCAGUAUUGAAGCAGCUAACUAAAUGGACCUGAUCAAUUCUUAUACUAGAGAUAUAAGACUAAUGAUAUAAUAGCUUUAUUAUUACUUACGCAACAGUUGUUGAAGACUCCAAUAGGUAAGAAUGAUUUAUAAAUAUUUUUUAAUUAACUUGAGGGUCAUGUGAAAACACUACAAAACUACAACCUUUAAGAGUGUCGUGACUCUUGAUAUUUUUCUUUGGGAGGAGUAUUGUGUAAAGAUAACAUUUCUGAUUCCAGACAAUUUAGAGAAAUUACUUUUCCUUAGAAGUAUGGGUUUGCUAAACAAUCAGAUAAUUUUACAUAAUCCAUAGAAGGUCCCAAAUAAGAUUAAGUUUGUUGAUACUGUCACAAUUGGAUUCUUAAUAAAUGAAGAAAUACAUUAUUUUUGAUCUGUAAAUGAACAUUCAUGUGUGUGGAAACGUUUGUUGUUAAAGGGUUACACGACUAGGAUAAGUGAGUUUACUGCUUUCACCCGGUGGAAAAUUAGUCCUUUUCUGUUUUGGUUUCUACCAGUUUGUUAGCUGUCAAUAUCUUGAUAUGUCAUCUCUGUUUUUCUGAUAACAUCUGCAUUUUGCACUCAAUGUGAUGUUCGAGAACAUUGACAAGAAACUAUUCUUUUUGGCAACCGUAUAUGCGAUCGGUUGCAAAUUUUCACUUUGUAAUGGAUUUCCUGGUGCGGUUAUACUGGGUAUGUUGUUGUUGGUGCGGUUAAAUAGUCUUUCCAUUGUUUUCAUUGACUGUAGUCCUUUGAGCAAUGAAAAGUUUUCUUUGAUAAUAUAAUAAUUCUUGGCCUUGCAGCUUGAAGAUGUGUGAUUAUCUUUUUUAAGCAAUCCUAUGGACAUCACAAUAGUGAGAAAUAUUCCUUUACUAAGGUUCCUUCAAUAUGGAGUUUGUACAACUUCCUGAUAGAUGCUUUACAAUUGUAGUACGAUAAAUUUGAAAACGUCCACCUUAAUCAGGGUAAAGAGUUAUAUCUGAAGGCUUUCUGGUUGCUCGCUUCCACUCAUUGUAUAAAUCUACCGAAGGGUCUGGAGUGCUCAAGUUAGGUCACCCGGGUCACAUUUGCUUAGUGUUGAGGUGGAUCCAACGGCUUUUUAAAAUUGAUGUUUUGAAGGCUUGCAAUAUCACUUGCACCCAAGCCCCGUUGUUGCAUUCCCAUCGCCACCAGCUAGACAGACCAAUACAGUUGGAGUCAAGCCACAACAGGAUGAAAACCAAAAAGGACUAUAAUAUGGAAGUAUGUUUGUCAAUUAACACUGUUAAAAUCUAGAUUUUAUACAAUUAUAGUAGUAACAAAUGAAUGCACAUGAUAUAUAUUAACAAAUGAAUGUACAUGAUAUAAAGCAUACUAUAUUAAUUUAAGUAUUUGCUUUGA